UGGGGCGUAGCCAAGUCGGUAAGGCACCGGUCUUUGGAACCGGCAUGCGCUGGUUCGAGUCCAGCCGCCCCAGCCA
rnacentral:tRNA from 1 species